UCUUCCCCUCGUGGCCACAUAUGAGGAGGCACGCUUUUCUCUCCGAGUUGCUGGUGCACCUUUGCUCACGGGAUUGGUUUGGCACCGGCAAACCUCAGCUAACGCCUCCGGGCGAUAAGGGUGAAUACGUCGGCAGGAGGACCUCCACCUUGUGGGGCAUGAGGGAAGGCACCCUUGUGCGGAGAGCAGCGGACACGCGGCGCAGACACACCACGGAGCGGCUGCGCACGCCCGCAUCACAGCUGCGGCUGCAGCGGGACCAGUUCCCCACAACCCAGCUGUGGGGACACGGGGGCUAACAGCGUGCCGGCAGGGCAGCCUGACCCUGCGCACCAGCAUGGCCUCCUCCCAGCAACCAGCAUCGUCAUGGAAACGGCCCAGCCCAAGCCCCCACCUGGGGCAGGGCGGCCCAGCAGCCCAAGGGAGAAGGACUAUCUGCACCUGGCUAGGGAGCACCCACUCCGACUCCAGGAGAGCCCUGGCUCAGCCUUGGGGAGCACAGUCCCCCCCAUCCUGGGACCACGUGCUUCUCUGAUGGCAGCAGCACCUGUCACCCGCCCCUGCACCCUGGCAGGUGACUGAGGGAGAGGUUCAGGUCCUGGAUGAAAAUGUGGAUGGAGCCUUUGGGGAUCCAGA